GGGAGAUGGAGUAGGGGAGAGGAAGGAUGUCUUUCCGGAGAAGACCAGAAAGAGCCCCAGAUGGAAGUAGAAGUGAUGGUGACAGCGUGAUCUAUUCAGAGAUGCAGUGUCUAUGCCCAAAAAUGUUCACAGGUUUUUACCAACUUUUUCAAUAUGUCGAGUCCUUGGGAAUCUCAAAUGAAGUUAACUUCCUGCAAUGUCAAGCAAGAGGAGUCGGGAGAUGGUGUUCCCAUCUGAGGCCCAGUGUGUUAUCUGUCUCACAAAAGAACAUCUAGACUGCUGCUGGGACUCUGUCUUCAUCUCAUACUCUCAGACUCCCAAGAAAUUUUUUCUGCUAUCUGACUUUCUUCUAGUUCAUUAAUGUAAACCUUUUCCUCUGUGUUGAUCUGUUUCCUUUAAAUUAUCCCAAGUAGACUUUUUUUCCAUCCUCAGCACUGCCCAAAAUCCAGUACAAGUAUGAAGGAGUCUGAAUGAAUGGCCCGCAAGAGUUGUCUCAGAUUUCUAUCUCUGUUCAAGAGCAGUUUUUGGGAGAUCUUGGCAAGAGGCUGAAUGGUGGACAUGACAUUUUUAGGGUGAGGUUGAAUUUAGUCCUGGGGAGCUUGCAAUUCCCAAGAUCUUAUUAACACUGGGACCAAAUACCAGACGUUCCUUUGGAUUUGCGUGUCAAUAUACUUUUUAAGCAGCGUCUUCACUGGCCUGGACCCUUUUAGGGCAUUCCAAGUUCCUGUGCCUCCGCCCCCGUCCUGGGGCUGGCCUGCAGUCAAGCAUCUCCACACUCUGCUGCUUCCAUCUGGAACUUUCUUCCUAAGACUGCCUCCAAACCUGCUUGCUAUGUUGGUGCCGAGAACCCACACAGCAUAGCCUACCGAAGCCCUGCUAAACUGCAGCAACAGUGAAGGGGUGGGCUUCCAUGGAAGCAGAACACGUGGGCAAGAAGACCAUCCCUGGCACCUCUUACAGAAAGGAUGCCAUAAGGAAAGGGGAACAAGUUGCAAGCUGGGAAGAGCUAUUAGGGUAUGCGUGAUCCAAGAAAGAUAGUAUCUGGAGCAUAUAAAGAACAUCUCCAAGUGAUCCUUGAGCCCAACGAUUCUGUUUUUUUUUUGUUUUUGUUUUUGCUUUAGUUUCAUUGCCAUUCUAAUUGACUUUGCAAGGAUCCAUGCAAAAUGAAAGUUCAGGUUCUUGUAUCCAAAAAUUAAGCAUUGUAAUACAGUGAGAGCAGACAAACUAAGCACAGUGAGCCCAACAGACCUGAAGAAUUCACUAUAGUAUUAAUUUUGUCUGAGACUUGACACUUGACCUGGUAUGAAGUCAAAUCCUUUCCAGAAACUUAUUUUUCUGCAGAACAGUGAAAGAAUCUGAACUGAAUAUUGGGGGAACUGCUAACUGAUGCCUUCAAAGACUCAAUGAAGUCUUAGGAAAGAAGAUGUUGAGUACACCUCUAGUUUCCUCUGGGCAGUUUGCAUAAUUCUCUGCCUCAGGCCCAGUUAUUAACUCAGUUAAGUUUUGGGAAACACAAGGCAAGAGUCAUGUGGGUAGUGGGGAUAGAAUAGAAGGGGAACAGAGUCCGACUCCUCCGGGGUGUGCACUCGGGAGCAUGUUCAUGCAGAGGGCUGUUGUUCAGACAUUUCACAUACACCUGUCCAAAACUGCCCACACAGCUUUCUUCUUCAGAGAACCUCCUUUCUAACUUCCCAGCCCCAUUGUUGUUGGUGUACCUCUCUUGCUAUCCUGACUCAAACAGGGAGGCAUCCAGGAUUCCUUUCCCUCUUAAAUCCCUUACACUUUAGCCACCGGUCAAGCUCACCGUUCCAUCUUCUUAUCGAUGAUUCCAUCUUCUCUCACUGGCUCCUCUGGCCUGCUUCCUGUCUGAGGAGCGGGGAGGCCCUUAGCAUUCUCUUCCAUCAAAACUCUCAUUGCACAAUAUCAGUGCCUGCAACUAAUCCCAUCGCAGUAGAAUCAAGGUCACCAUCCUCUCCCUGGCUUUCAGUUAUCCAUACGCCGUGACCCUGCCUCUUUCCUGUUGCACCAUUUUGUGCUGUUCCCUUCCCAGAUUUCUUCUUAGGUUGCUCUCAUCAUGUUAGGCUGAAUCGUCCCUGAGAGUUGGGUCUGAAAUGCCAGAUUUAGUUCUUUUCUAACUUCCAUCCAUGGAGGCUCAUUUCCUCUGGGCAUCCUUCAAGCUCUAAGUCAUUCUCCUUAUACUCUUACUGUGUUUGCAUUGAUUAGUUCCAUUUAGUACCACUUGGGUAGUGUAUCAGAUAUUGCUAAGUAUUGUCUUUCCUCUAAGCUGGGAUCUUGAUGGAAAGGAUCUGAGCGUCUGUUGGCAUUGUCUCUCCACUGCACUGCGCACCAGAAAGCGGGAACGGAGAGAUUCACAUUUUUUGAAGUCUGUAAGUCAUGCCAUUGAAUCAUUUCAGCCCUAAGAGUAGAGUGUCUCUUGUCUCUAUUUCAUCCUCUGAGCUGAAACUGAAAGAAGUAACUUCACAUCACUGGUGCCAAGUGACUGAGUUAGGAUUCAAAACUAGAGUUGCUAGAUAAUGCACUUCCACAACUUCAUGUCUGGAUUCCAAGGUGAGGUGUGCUUAUUCUGAUCUCCCUUGAAAAAACUUACAUAUCAGGCUGAUCUACUCCAGCGAUUGUUUUUUUUUUUUUUUUCAAAAACACUAAAGGCAAGUUUUAUGAUUAACAGCUAUUUAAAAAUGCUCUCUUUGUCUUUCUGGGAGUGAUUCUUUUAAAGAUUUUUCUUGGCAGGAAUUGGCCCAGAAUGUCUGAUGCUGCCUCCGAGUUGGGCAAGCAGUGAUGAAGCUGACAGCCACUAAUGCAUCUAUUGCAAGCCUGGUGUCUGACACGGUUUGAUAAAUGUCCUCCAGAUGCACGUGCAUUAAAGGAUGUUCUGCAGCCUGAGGUACCAUGAAAGCUGGAGUCUUUCUCCAUCUUAAGUGAUGCCCAGCAGCCACAUUCUAAACCUGCGAGCAGAAGGAGCAACCUUGACAUCCACUGAGGUUUCACCUGAGCCAGCACUGACCACGUACUAUCUCACUUCAUUCUCACAACAAUGGCAGAUGCUCGGUAUUAUUUUCAACCGGCUUUACUCCUAAGGAAACAGAAGCUCAAAAAGACAGAAGCCGCAUCAGUAACAAGUAGAGGAUUAUGGAUUCAGAACCAGGUCUGUGGGUGUGAAGAGCAGAUUCAAAACCGAUGCCAGGGCGGAUAAAGUGAAUUCUUUUGGAAGACCAGCCCCUGUCCAUUUGGGACAGAAAGCUCACACCGGUGCUUGGAGAAGAAAGUCACCAUGGGCGGGGGACAUUUCCUCUAAAACCACCUCCUCCUUCUUCUUUCAAACCAGGUCUGAGGAUCCAAACCACAAAUGUAAGAUGAAAGAAGCUUGUUAAUGAGGUCCUCCACCCUGGGAAGAAGAUGAAAAAGAAAGAAAGAAAGAAAAAGAAAAGAAAGGACAGAGAGGAGGAGGAGGAGGACAGAACAAUCCUUGACAAAUAUUUUCUGUUAAUAAAUUCCAUUUUGCCUCUCAGAUGUUUGCCAACUAUCUAAACAGGACACAUUUUUCACAUACCAGGGCAAACCGUUGCUGAGACGCGUCUCCAGCCUGCUGCCCGCGGCCCUGUUUCCACAGCCUCCCAGGAGGCGCCUCUCGUGACUGCUGUGGGCUCCCAGCACGA